rnacentral:lncRNA from 1 species
UUUAUUUUAUAAAACUUGAUAUUUUAUUUUUUAAAAGUUUAAUGAGUGAUUAUAUUCAAUUUGUUUUCCGGUAACCAACUAAAACCUUACUUAUUUGAUUGUAAGUUUAUGAAAAUUUUAUUAUUAAAAAGUUCAAUAAAUGGUCCAAUAAUAUUGAUUAAGUCAUUCUUGUAGUGUAGUUAAUUGAAUUUUUUAUUUUUUGUUUAAUUAGAAUCAUGGGAAAAUCACAUAUUAUUGAUUCAUUUUUCAAGAGAAAGCAAUUAAAUCAUGUUGAUAUAUCUAUGCUUACCCCUGAGCCUAAUGUUAAAACAUCUCUGCCUACUUCUGAACAAGAACAACGUGUAUUGAAGGUAAAGAAUAAGAUAUUAAUUAUUUGGAACGUGAUCCUAAAAAACGUAUCAAAAUAUGAAAAUGUUGUGG